rnacentral:rRNA from 1 species
GACGAACGCUGGCGGCGUGCUUAACACAUGCAAGUCGAACGGAAAGGCCCUGCUUUUGUGGGGUGCUCGAGUGGCGAACGGGUGAGUAACACGUGAGUAACCUGCCCUUGACUUUGGGAUAACUUCAGGAAACUGGGGCUAAUACCGGAUAGGAGCUCCUGCUGCAUGGUGGGGGUUGGAACGUUUCGGCGGUUGGGGAUGGACUCGCGGCUUAUCAGCUUGUUGGUGGGGUAGUGGCUUACCAAGGCUUUGACGGGUAGCCGGCCUGAGAGGGUGACCGGCGACAUUGGGACUGAGGUACGGCACAGACUGCUACGGGAGGCAGCAGUGGGGAAUAUUGCACAAUGGGCGGAAGCCUGAUGCAGCAACGCCGCGUGCGGGAUGACGGCCUUCGGGUUGUAAACCGCUUUCGCCUGUGACGAAGCGUGAGUGACGGUAAUGGGUAAAGAAGCACCGGCUAACUACGUG